rnacentral:rRNA from 1 species
UACGUAGGCAGCGAGCGUUGUUCGGAGUUACUGGGCGUAAAGAGUGCGUAGGCGGCCUUCUAAGUCGAACGUGAAAUCCCCGGGCUCAACCCGGGAACUGCGUCCGAUACUGGAAGGCUUGAAUCCGGGAGAGGGAUGCGGAAUUCCAGGUGUAGCGGUGAAAUGCGUAGAUAUCUGGAGGAACACCGGUGGCGAAGGCGGCAUCCUGGACCGGCAUUGACGCUGAGGCGCGAAAGCCAGGGGAGCAAACGGG